UGUUCUGUGGCUUAGUUGGGUAAUGCACCGGUCUAGCGAAUACGUUGUCGUGGGUUCAAUUCCCACCAGAACGU
rnacentral:tRNA from 1 species